AGGUCCCAUGUGGAGUGGGAAGCUUAAAAAGGGCCCUAGCCUAGUCUGAGUCUCCAUAGCUCCCUUCACCUUCCUUUUUUUUUUUUUAAAUCAACUCCCUCCCUCCAAUGCCAGGGGGAGGAACAGAUGGUAUCUCUGGGUGUCCUGCCUCUCUCAGUCUCUUUUUCUCCAUUUCUGUCUCUCUGUUCCUCUCUCUGUAUGUGCUUGUGUGUCUGUGUCUUUCAACCAAUCACAGAGACAUGCUCACCCUAAAUCUCCCUUGGCUCUAAUUCUUCCCCUGGUUUUUUUUUAAUGUUAUUUCCUUUAAAAGAAAAGGUUGAAAUGUGUCAAGUGAAGAAAAACUUGCUCCAUUUUUUUUUGAAAGGAAGAGGAAAUGGAGAUUAAGAGAGAAAACUGGAGACAGAGACAGAAACAGAUUCCUGAUCACUCCCAUUCCCUUCUCUCCUUGGGUAAAAUGAAAGGGAAGACCAGAGCAGGGGUUCCCUAAGGAGAGAACGUGUGGUUGGAGGUGCCCACCAAAAAUAACUCCGUGAACAGGGGCACCUGAAAACCUGGAGAGAACAUACUUAGGGAAACAGGAUCAGUGAAAAGAGAAAUUGAAGGAUGUGUAUUUUGGUACAGAUCUAUGUGUGCACAGGUAUGAAAAUAAGUGAAAGUAAGUGUGUGUCAAGUCAUGGAGAUGUCCAAGUUUUGGCACAGGUAAGUGUAAAUGCACUUGUAUGAUUGUGUCUACAAUGGGGUAUGUACCUGUUGGGAUAUGUGUGAUGUGUGUGGCUACUGUAUCUGUAUCACAGUAUAAGAACAGCUGUGCAUGUAUGUGUAUGUGUGCAUGAAUGUGCAAGACAUCCCUGAUUCUGCUCGCCUUUAGGAUUAGUUUGGGCCAGGGAGGGGAGAAAGGGCAGAUGCUUGCCCUGACCCUCUCUCAGCAGCCCUCUAGGGCAGUCAGGAAUGACUCUGUAAGGGUUAGUGGAGCCCAACUACCUGCCCAUCACUUGAAAUUCCAUCUUCUCUACCUUCCAGCCCUUUCUCAGCCCCUUCAUCUUCUUGAAACAGGCUCAGCUCCCAAGGAGGCACACUGCCCCUGGAGUGUUUAGGGCCUGGGGAGGGCUGCUAGCAGUCCAUGUCCAUACCCUUCCCAGAUGGCUGAUGUAUAUGAGCCCGGCUAGGGGACUUCUUCCCAGCCCCCACCCCCACAUACAGUCAAACUGAGAAGCUAGAUACAAACACGAUUAGAGAAGCACACAUGGUCACAUUAAUUCUUCCAUAGUCUCACACACAUGUAAGUAGCAGCACAGAAAUGCAGACAGAGACACACCGAGGCAAAUCUUUCUCUUUCUCUGCUUCUCCCUUGGUUGAAUUUCAUUCAGCCACAUAUGUUGUGUGUGUGUGUGUUGUGUGAGGGUGGGUGGAGGAGGGGCAGAUCCGAAUGAGGACUGGCAUGAUGCCAACACCUACCUAUGGGGCCUGGGCUGGGGACACCCCCUCCCCACCCACUCUGGGACUUCUACCCUGGGAAGGGGGCCUCAGCUGUCCCUUUGUGGCUUGAGAGGGACCCUCUUUGUAGGUGGCAGCAAGAACACAGCCCCGUUUACAUCCCCAGCCCUGAGUCUGGUCCAUGACCCACCUUGGGGGCUUGGGGGGGUGGAUGUGAG